rnacentral:misc_RNA from 1 species
GCCAUGGUGGGCAUCUCUCUCUCCCUUCGAUUUUUUGAAAAUUUUUCUUUAUUUUAGCUUUAAUGGUAGGAAAUUCCAAGCAUAACCAAUAAAAACCAGCAACCAACUUUCCCAGAAAGAAAAUUGUGCUUCUUUACCCGGGUUUCUAUUGUUUAUGCUGCUACCUUUUGGAGGUGAAGUGAAUUUGAGUUUAAGUUUAGUACCUUAUCUUUGUUUUUGUUUGCAUUUAAAAUAGAUAUUAGUUAUAAAAAUCUGUAACCCAUUUGCGCUUUUAUGUUAUAAUCUCUAAUAGUUGAGUUGGUGUUGCCAAAACUCUUAAAAAGAUGAUGGAGCUUGGCAGUAUUCUUUUGGUAACCUUUCUGUGAUUUAAGCGCUUCUACUGGGAAAUGGAUGAAGAAACAAUUCUAAAAAUUAAGUUUAAUGCGUUAGUGUUUUAGUUUUGUACUGAUUCCUGUAGCGUAACUGUCAGUUGAUGUGCUUAGUUUUAUUUUUCAUUUUCUUUGUUGAUUUUUUUUUGUCGUUUUUAAUAGGAAUUGAGCGAGCGAAGGAUACAAAGACAGUGAAUUGGAGACCUGAAUCGUUAUCUGUAGAAUAAAUUGAGAGAGACUUUGACUGAAUUAUGGUAAAUCUUUGAAUAGUGGAAGCAUAGAAACAGAUAUUGAAUUGCUUGUAUGGCAUAUGGGUUUCCUUAUUUCUGAGAUAUAAAUCCUUUCCAUCUUUGUCUUUACCACUAAUAUAUGUUUGUUGUUCCCUUGCCUAACAACAUUUCCGCGUUCACAAUCACAUUUGAGUGGAGAAAAAUGUUUUUCCUUCAAACUAUUAUUAUGCCAAAAUCUUUUUCACCUCUUUGUUCAGUAAAGGUUGAGCCUAAUUUGCUGUUCGUUUCAUCAAUUUCUUCUCAAAACCCUGUUUAUAAUCCUACUUUAGGCACUUUUAGUCGUCAGGAAAUUGUGUUGCCUUCUCACAUUUACUGUGGACGCAGCACAAAACCUUUAUCUUGCUUUGCUGUUUCAAGGACAUCUGGUUCAGAGCCUGACCCUGACACUAGCUCCAAGCCCAAAGCUAAACCUAAAACAAGAACUCACCAUCCAAAAGCUCUAGAUUCUCAAAAGGAAGAUGAAAAACCUGGAACAAUCUUUCCAACAACGAUUCCACGCAAGCCAAGGCGUGGUCGUAGGAGUGAAGCAGCUGCAGUCGAGGAUUUUGUUCGUGACUCACUUGAACAAACAUUUGCAUCAAUUCGGCAGCAGAACCCAGAAGCUUUAGAGAAUAAGGAAAAUAUAAUGAAGGACAGAGUUAAUGAUACUGUAGAUUCUGAAACCAGUGAUGAAGAUGAUGAUGAUGGUGACAACGAAUAUGAAGAUGAUGAUGAUGGUGACAACGAAUAUGAAGAUAAACAUGAUGUUGGUAGAGGAAAAAGAAAGAAAAAGAAGAUGGUGGUUGAGGAGGAAGACCCAAAUUGGCCAUUGGAUGCUGAUGUGGGUUGGGGAAUCAGAGCAUCAGAUUAUUUUGAGAAGCAUGCAAUCAAGAAUGUUGUGGGGGAAGAUGGAUUGGAGAUUGAUUGGGAAGGGGAGAUAGAUGAUAACUGGGUGAAAGAGAUUAACUGUCUUGAGUGGGAGAGUUUUGCUUUUCAUCCUAGCCCACUAAUUGUUCUUGUUUUUGAAAGAUACAACAGGGCAACUGAUAACUGGAAGACUUUGAAAGAGCUAGAGAAGGCAGUCAAGGUGUAUUGGAGUGCAAAGGAUCGACUGCCUCCUCG